rnacentral:rRNA from 1 species
CCGGCGCACGGGUGAGUAACACGUAUCCAACCUGCCGUCUACUCUUGACAGCUCUGAAGAAGAUAAUACAAGAUGGCAUCAUGAGUCCGCAUGUUCACACGAUUAAAGGUAUUCCGGUAGACGAUGGGGAUGCGUUCCAUUAGAUAGUAGGCGGGGUAACGGCCCACCUAGUCUUCGAUGGAUAGGGGUUCUGAGAGGAAGGUCCCCCACAUUGGAACUGAGACACGGUCCAA